CCUACGGGUGGCAGCAGUGGGGAAUAUUGGACAAUGGGGGGAACCCUGAUCCAGCGACGCCGCGUGAGUGAAGAAGUAUUUCGGUAUGUAAAGCUCUAUCAGCAGGGAAGAAAGAAAUGACGGUACCUGACUAAGAAGCCCCGGCUAACUACGUGCCAGCAGCCGCGGUAAUACGUAGGGGGCAAGCGUUAUCCGGACUUACUGGGUGUAAAGGGAGCGUAGACGGCGAUGCAAGUCUGAAGUGAAAGGCGGGGGCCCAACCUCCGGACUGCUUUGGAAACUGUAUGGCUGGAGUGAAGGAGAGGUAAGUGGAAUUCCUAGUGUAGCGGUGACAUGCGUAGAUAUUAGGAGGAAAACCAGUGGCGAAGGCGGCUUACUGGACUGUAACUGACGUUGAGGCUCGAAAGCGUGGGGAGCAAACAGGAUUAGAUACCCCGGUAGUC
rnacentral:rRNA from 1 species